CUACGGGAGGCAGCAGUAGGGAAUCUUCCGCAAUGGGCGAAAGCCUGACGGAGCAACGCCGCGUGAGUGAUGAAGGUCUUCGGAUCGUAAAACUCUGUUAUUAGGGAAGAACAUAUGUGUAAGUAACUGUGCACAUCUUGACGGUACCUAAUCAAAAAGCCACGGCUAACUACGUGCCAGCAGCCGCGGUAAUACGUAGGUGGCAAGCGUUAUCCGGAAUUACUGGGCGUAAAGCGCGCGUAGGCGGUUUGUUAAGUCUGAUGUGAAAUCCCACGGCUCAACCGGGGAGGGUCAUUGGAAACUGGAAAACUUGAGUGCGGAAGAGGAAGGUGGAAUUCCAUGUGUAGCGGUGAAAUGCGCAGAGAUAUGGAGGAACACCAGUGGCGAAGGCGACUUUCUGGUCUGUAACUGACGCUGAUGUGCGAAAGCGUGGGGAUCAAACAGGAUUAGAUACCCUGGUAGUCC
rnacentral:rRNA from 1 species